rnacentral:rRNA from 1 species
AACGAACGCUGGCGGCAUGCCUAACACAUGCAAGUCGAACGAGACCUUCGGGUCUAGUGGCGCACGGGUGCGUAACGCGUGGGAACCUGCCCUUAGGUUCGGAAUAACUCCCCGAAAGGGGUGCUAAUACCGGAUAAUGUCUUCGGACCAAAGAUUUAUCGCCUUUGGAUGGGCCCGCGUUGGAUUAGCUAGUUGGUAGGGUAAAAGCCUACCAAGGCGACGAUCCAUAGCUGGUCUGAGAGGAUGAUCAGCCACACUGGGACUGAGACACGGCCCAGACUCCUACGGGAGGAAGCAGUGGGGAAUAUUGGACAAUGGGCGAAAGCCUGAUCCAGCAAUGCCGCGUGAGUGAUGAAGGCCUUAGGGUUGUAAAGCUCUUUUACCCGGGAUGAUAAUGACAGUACAGGGAGAAUAAGCUCCGGCUAACUCCGUG